GUUUGAACUUAGUGGAGGCUGACACCGCCGGUGCGCUCUUAUAGACAUAAGAACUUUCUUCGUGGUCUCCCAGACCCUCUCUCACAGAUCAGCAUCACCCACCGUUUCCGUUUCCUUCCACCCAAGUUUAUUUUUCCCUCGCGCACCUCUCAAGCGAGUGUGUCCUCUCUCCCACCCCUCCUUCCUUUGCCUCCCUCUUCACCCUCCACUUCUCCCCAUCCUCUCACCACACCAUACGCUGUGCUUCUGUUGUGGUACGGCCUCCCACGUCCCGCUUCUUUGCGAUUCACCACUAAGCCGUAGCAACCGGCCCUCUUCUCUUCCGUUCGCUCGCGCUUCAGCUGCUCCGUGAAUACUGUUCUUCUUGCCUUUUUUCCAGCUACCCUUUAUGUGCCCCCGCUUUUGUAUGUGCGUGUGUGUGCUGCGGCUGUCUCUGCUCUUUUCUCUCCCUCGCACGUGUAUAACUGUGAGCAGGAGCCUCUUUCCUGCCUGUCGUUCCUCUUGCCUCUCCUCCCCCCAUCAGUAUUCCGUUGACGCGUUUCAUUUUUAUUUCUAUGAGACCUUUCAGCGCGUUUUGAGCCGUCAAGUCCCUACUUGUCCCUCCGACUUUUCUCUCUACGCCUUUUUUUUCUGCCCCACACUCCCUCCAUUCGCAAAGCCCCACAGACCCCUUAUUGCUGUCUGAUACUCUGCCCUCUCUUCACCCCACCUUCCUUUACGUCUUUCCUUCUGGCCUUUCCUUUUCUGUUUUAUUGCUUUCCUAUUGCUCUUGUUUCUCUCAGCGGAACUGCUCGUGCUCUGGGUCUGCACUCUUCACCUUCCCUCCUCCUCUGCCGAGCGUCUUCGCUGACGGGCGCUUCUCCCUCUCCUCUCCCCUCCCCCUCCCUGACUUGCUGCGCGAGUGGGGCAAAAGAGAAUGGGGUGCUGCUGUUGUUACCCCUCCGAUUUUAGGGCCGCCCGGCAGGCUUCCUCGCCGCUGCAGCGACGGCCGAGCUCUGUUGAACACCGCUCCUUCGAACAAAAUGUGUUCCAUCGGGCAAAGCAACCGGCGAAGACUAGAUACAUCUGCGACCUGUGCGGCGUUGAGGUCGACCCGACCCUCUUUGACGGCCACCAGGAGGUCUGCCGCACAAACCACCUCCGCACCAUCCUAGCCAAGAAUGCCGCGCUUCUCUCCCAUGCAAACAUUCAGCCAUCGUCCUCGGCGAAGUUUCACGACGAUGCAGCGUCGGGAGACAAGGAGCUGUGCUUGGUAUGCAUGGAUCGACCUCGCAGCUACGCCUUUCUGCCAUGCGGGCACAUUAGCUGCUGUCAGGAGUGCACCAAGUCUCUCGAUCAGUGCCCCCUCUGUCGGCAGCCGCGCGAGGGGCUCUGCCAUGUUUCACCAAACGUGACUGCGCAGUACGAGUGCAAGCACUGUCACGAGCUCAUCGCACCCACCCUCUUCGAUGGACAUCGCGAAGUUUGCGGCUUGCGACAGCGUCAAACGCAGCGCGAGGCCGAGGAGGCUGCUGCCGCCGCAGCGGCAGCGGCAGUGACCGUGGGUGUUCCCGUAGAGGCCGCUGAGAAUUCGGCUACCUGGCAGAACAGCACCAAGUCGAUGCCGAGCAGGAGCCCGCCCCAAGCAGCUGUCGCCACACCGCCUGACUCCAUGUUAUCCACAGCGACAGCGCCGGCACGCAACCCAACACGCUCGCUCUCGCACGUCUGCCUAGAGUGCGGCAAAACGUAUGGCCAGCUGGUUGUCUGUGUACCGUGUGGGCACCGCGUACUGUGCUACACCUGCUCCCAGAAGCGUACGACGUGCCCCGUGUGCGUGAGUGAGAUUCGCGACAUAAUCGUGGCGUUCGACUGAGGCGAGAGCGGUGCUUGUACUGUUUCUUUCCUCGUGAGACCCGUCCGGCACUGCGUUCCGCGUGUAGAACGAUGAGUGUGAUGAGGAUGAUGGCGCAGCCGGUAAUCAUGCUCACAUGGAGCUACGGACUUUGCUGUGUUUGGUCUAUUCUCUCACAUCGCAGAGCUGGCGCAGAGCAGAGACGUGCGCGACAGAGGGGUGGGUGGGUGGGAGGGGCGCAAGCGACAAGAGUGACGCUCAUAUAGAAAGAAUAGGAGGGCACAUAAGAUCGAGAAAGGGGCAAUGGCGAGCCCUUCUGCUUCACACGCCCACGUCAGACCUGUUCAUGGAUGCUUGCGCACGAGCGCAGUUGCUCAGUACUUUGUGUCUCGUGCUUGGAUGGUUCGCGAGUCUCUUUGCACCUUUACUUCAGCAUAUACUGCCGCACAGGCAGAUUUUGAGUCCUCGGCGGAGGCGCGCCAUUCAGAAUCAUAUCCACGGUGAUUUUGUUCUUCAUCGCUUGAUCUGGCCGCAACUCUCGCCGCUGUGUGCCGAUUCACCGCCGCGCGAGGCAUGCGUCUUCCGGACAACUUAGGUUCUUUCCCCUUUCUUUGGGGCGCCAAGGCUGCAAGUGCGGUCUAGUUUUCACUGAAUUUCGGUUAAUGGCAUAAGAUGAUAGAAACCGGUGACGUAGCUCAGCUUCAAAUGGCUGUCUUCUUUGCGCUGCGCACUUCCUUCUCUCGGCCGGUUUUGGCAAGUGGGGGAGGGAGGGAGGGAGGAGCAGGCCAAAAGGGAAGGGGAGCAAGGGCGUUUGUUGUGCAAUAUGCCCCUGUUGCCAUCAGCUGCUACUGUCGCCUCUCUCGGUGCUGCCAGCAGACAGUCCGCUGCUCUGUUUGUGUCUGCUUCUUUCCCCCUUCUAUCAGAAGGGCGCAAAGGACGGUGGCCGAUGUUUUUUUGUUGUUUUCGUCUUACUCUUUUCUGCUGUGCUGCGUCCUUCCGUCAUUUUUCAUCUUUUCAAAAAAAAAAGGGCACCCCCUUUUUUGUGUGGUGGUGGUGGGUUUUCUUGCAGCUGCCGCCCCUUCUGUUUGUUUCCUUGUUGUGUGGGUGUGCUCAUCAAACCGAGAAACCGUUGAGGAGGGGGCGGGGGCAGGGAGCGGAGAGGGGAGUGCCAGACAUGAGCUUCAGUUUAACACCCUCCUUUCCCGCCUCUCUUUCUACCUCUGCCCAUCACCCAUUUUUUCUUUUUCGGGUUAGCGUGUAUGCGCACGCGCGAUGGAAUCGGUCAACUCACACCGCUCAUUCUCUUUUCUCCGCCUUGUCAUCUCUUUCCGUCUUUACUCGAUUUGGUUUCUCUUGUUUCGUUUUUUUUUUGUUUUCUCUCUCGCAUGUCCGCUGUUUUGAAUCUUCUGAUGAUCUUUUCUUCCUCGGCGUUGUUUCAUUGCCGUGUCUCAUCCGGCCCCCUCCCCCUUUCCCCACUUCCCUUCGCCAUCUCUCCUGCCUGCAUGUCUCUUCCCUUUUGUUGUUUUGGCUUUCACGCGUCUUUGUCGAUGUUUGCUGAAUCACUGUUUCGCUCCCCCCUCUGACGUCACCCUGUGCCUUUUUUGGAUUGCGUUCAUUUGCUCGCCACUUUUUCUUUGUUCCCACCACUUUUCGGAUUGUGUCUUGCCUUGUUUUGCCUCUCCUCUUCUUUGUUUUCGGUGCCCGUUACUGUUUCGCUUGCCGCCGUGGUUGCUCGAGUCCGUGACUCGACUACACGCACCCCCUCCUCCUCCUCCUCUUUCUCUGUGUGUCUACGGCGUCCAUCCCCCCUUGUUCCUUCCACCACUGUCGUGUGUGUGCGUGUGUAUGGGAGGAUGCGCACAUGAGAGGCACAACCCGUCUCUCAUGUGCGUGGGUUUACGUGAACACCCUAGUAAAACGAAAGCAUCGACAGCAAUAUCUGGAACGACCUCAUCAAAGGAAAAUAAGCAGCCACGAGGCCUGACGCUUUUAUAGCUCCUCGCUCUGACGGGAGGGCUAUGCAUGCCUAUCGCGGCCAGUGUUUAUGACGCACAGGCUGCCUUCUGCUUUUU
rnacentral:misc_RNA from 1 species